rnacentral:rRNA from 1 species
UACGUAGAUCCCGAGCGUUGUCCGGAUUUAUUGGGUUUAAAGGGUGCGCAGGCGGAUUUUUAAGUCAGCGGUCAAAUCGUGGGGCUCAACCCCAUCCAGCCGUUGAAACUGGGGAUCUAGAGUGUGCGAGAGGUAUGCGGAAUGCGUGGUGUAGCGGUGAAAUGCAUAGAUAUCACGCAGAACCCCGAUUGCGAAGGCAGCAUACCGGUGCACAACUGACGCUCAGGCACGAAAGCGUGGGUAUCGAACAGG